rnacentral:rRNA from 2 species
CUUGACAACAUAUAAGAGGUCCAGCCUGCCCAGUGACCUAGUUCAACGGCCGCGGUAUCCUAACCGUGCGAAGGUAGCGUAAUCACUUGUUCUUUAAAUGAGGACUAGUAUGAAUGGCACCACGAGGGUUAAACUGUCUCCUUUUUUUAAUCAGUGAAACUAAUCUCCCCGUGAAGAAGCGGGGAUUCUUUUAUAAGACGAGAAGACCCUAUGGAGCUUUAAACAAGUUAACACCUGCUACUAAUCUUCACUUUCCUGAACCACCACAUUAAGUAUAGCACCUCUGAUUAACAGUUUUCGAUUGGGGUGAUCAUGGAGCAAAAAUUAACCUCCACGACGAAAAGGAACACCUCCUUGAGCCAAAAGCUACAACUUUAAGCACUAAAAAACUAACGCACUUUGACCCAAUUCUUUGAGCAACGAAC